rnacentral:rRNA from 1 species
UACGUAGGGGGCUAGCGUUGUCCGGAAUCAUUGGGCGUAAAGCGCGUGUAGGCGGUCCGGUAAGUCCGCUGUGAAAGUCGGGGGCUCAACCCUCGAAUGCCGGUGGAUACUGUCGGGCUAGAGUGCGGAAGAGGCGAGUGAAGUACUCGGUGUCGUGAGCGGUGAAAUGCGCAGAUAUCAGGAGGAACACCGGUGGCGAAGGCGGGUCUCUGGGCCUUACCUGACGCUGAGGCGCGAAAGCUAGGGGAGCAAACAGG